rnacentral:lncRNA from 1 species
CGCCUAUAAAGUAACUACCUACUCUACUCCGUUCCAAUUAGUUUACAGUCAAGAGGUAAUUUUACCUAUCGAAUUGGAGGUUCCUAGUUUACGUAUUGCCUUAGACGAACGCCUCAGUGACACCGAGUCAUUACACUCUCGGUUGAUGAAAUUGGAGGAAUUGGAUGAAAUACGGGCUGUCGCUCUAUUCCACAUGGAAGCCACUCAAAA